rnacentral:rRNA from 1 species
AUUGAACGCUGGCGGAAUGCUUUACACAUGCAAGUCGAACGGCAGCACGGGGCAACCUGGUGGCGAGUGGCGAACGGGUGAGUAAUACAUCGGAACGUGCCCAAUCGUGGGGGAUAACGUAGCGAAAGUUACGCUAAUACCGCAUACGAUCUACAGAUGAAAGCGGGGGAUCGCAAGACCUCGCGCGAAUGGAGCGGCCGAUGUCAGAUUAGGUAGUUGGUGGGGUAAAGGCUCACCAAGCCAACGAUCUGUAGCUGGUCUGAGAGGACGACCAGCCACACUGGAACUGAGACACGGUCCAGACUCCUACGGGAGGCAGCAGUGGGGAAUUUUGGACAAUGGGCGCAAGCCUGAUCCAGCCAUUCCGCGUGCAGGAUGAAGGCCUUCGGGUUGUAAACUGCUUUUGUACAGAACGAAAAAGCUCUUUCUAAUACAGAGAGUCCAUGACGGUACUGUAAGAAUAAGCACCGGCUAACUACGUG